ensembl:snRNA U6 U6 spliceosomal RNA
UUACUCGCUUCGGCAGCACAUAUACUAAAAAGGGAACGAUACUGAGAAGAUUAGCAUGGCCCUCGUUCAAGGAUGACAUGCAAAUUCGUGAAGUGUUCCAUAUAUUA